rnacentral:piRNA from 1 species
UCCUGGAUCUGAAGGAAUCAAGUUUUGAAAU